rnacentral:rRNA from 1 species
ACGCACGCUGGCGGCGUGCUUAACACAUGCAAGUCGAACGGAAAGGCCCUGCUUUUGUGGGGUGCUCGAGUGGCGAACGGGUGAGUAACACGUGAGUAACCUGCCCUUGACUUUGGGAUAACUUCAGGAAACUGGGGCUAAUACCGGAUAGGAGCCCCUGCUGCAUGGUGGGGGUUGGAAAGUUUCGGCGGUUGGGGAUGGACUCGCGGCUUAUCAGCUUGUUGGUGGGGUAGUGGCUUACCAAGGCUUUGACGGGUAGCCGGCCUGAGAGGGUGACCGGCCACAUUGGGACUGAGAUACGGCCCAGACUCCUACGGGAGGCAGCAGUGGGGAAUAUUGCACAAUGGGCGGAAGCCUGAUGCAGCAACGCCGCGUGCGGGAUGACGGCCUUCGGGUUGUAAACCGCUUUCGCCUGUGACGAAGCGUGAGUGACGGUAAUGGGUAAAGAAGCACCGGCUAACUACGUG